rnacentral:snRNA from 1 species
GCACUCACGUCAGCAGCACAUAGGCCAAAACUGUAAGGUUACUGAGAUCAGUCAGGUCCCUGUGCAAAGAUGACAUGCCAACUCUUGAAGCAUUUCACACCUUU